UACGUAGGGUGCAAGCGUUGUCCGGAAUUAUUGGGCGUAAAGAGCUCGUAGGCGGUCUGUCGCGUCGGCUGUGAAAACCCGCGGCUCAACCUCGGGCCUGCAGUCGAUACGGGCAGACUAGAGUGCGGUAGGGGAGACUGGAAUUCCUGGUGUAGCGGUGAAAUGCGCAGAUAUCGGGAAGAACACCCGUGGCGAAGGCGGCUCUCUGGGACGGUACUGACGCUGAGACGCGAAAGCGUGGGGAGCGAACAGG
rnacentral:rRNA from 1 species